rfam:Aspergillus brasiliensis CBS 101740 unplaced genomic scaffold ASPBRscaffold_19, whole genome shotgun sequence.
AAAUUGGAAGACCUUAGCACCUUACGCUGACGCUAGAAGAUAUUCAAAUACAAGGUGCUGCCAUUGAGAUUGAGGAACGGCCAGGCCGCCUGCUAAGGCUUCAUAAUUGGGACCUUGAUUAAAUACUGAUACGGGGCUCUUUUGGGUCUCGUAAUUGGAAUGAGUACAAUCUAAAUCCCUUAACGAGGAACAAUUGGAGGGCAAGUCUGGUGCCAGCAGCCGCGGUAAUUCCAGCUCCAAUAGCGUAUAUUAAAGUUGUUGCAGUUAAAAAGCUCGUAGUUGAACCUUGGGUCUGGCUGGCCGGUCCGCCUCACCGCGAGUACUGGUCCGGCUGGACCUUUCCUUCUGGGGAAUCUCAUGGCCUUCACUGGCUGUGGGGGGAACCAGGACU